UACAGAGGGUGCGAGCGUUGUCCGGAAUCACUGGGCGUAAAGGGCGCGUAGGCGGCCACCGCAAGUCGACUGUGAAAUCUCCGGGCUUAACCCGGAAAGGUCAGCCGAUACUGCGGGGCUAGAGUGCAGAAGGGGCAACUGGAAUUCUCGGUGUAGCGGUGAAAUGCGUAGAUAUCGAGAGGAACACCUGCGGCGAAGGCGGGUUGCUGGGCUGACACUGACGCUGAUGCGCGAAAGCUAGGGGAGCGAACGGG
rnacentral:rRNA from 1 species